AAGAUAAAUAACAAUCAAGCAGGUAUAUCGUCGGAUAAUGGCUGACAGUUUCUACCCAGCACCUAUGCUGGACUAUCUGUGGAUGUAGCUCUUUU
rnacentral:ncRNA from 2 species